ACUACCCGCUGAACUUAAGCAUAUCAAUAAGCGGAGGAAAAGAAACCAACAGGGAUUGCCCCAGUAACGGCGAGUGAAGCGGCAAAAGCUCAAAUUUGAAAUCCCUCGGGAGUUGUAAUUUGUAGGUUGGGACGCAAGGCAAGUCAGAGUUUAAGUCCCUUGGAACAGGGCGCCUUAGAGGGUGAGAGCCCCGUAAAACUCUGGACAAGCUCCACGCGUCCCUUCCAAAGAGUCGAGUUGUUUGGGAAUGCAGCUCAAAGUGGGUGGUAAAUUCCAUCUAAAGCUAAAUACCGGCGAGAGACCGAUAGCGAACAAGUACAGUGAUGGAAAGAUGAAAAGCACUUUGAAAAGAGAGUG
rnacentral:rRNA from 1 species